GACGAACGCUGGCGGCAUGCCUAACACAUGCAAGUCGAGCGAACAGAUGAAGUGCUUGCACUUCUGACGUUAGCGGCGAACGGGUGAGUAACACGUAAGGAAUCUACCUAUAAGCGGGGGAUAACAUUCGGAAACGGGUGCUAAUACCGCAUAAUAUCUUCUUCCGCAUGGAAGAAGAUUGAAAGACGGCUCUGCUGUCACUUAUAGAUGACCUUGCGGUGCAUUAGUUAGUUGGUGGGGUAAUGGCCUACCAAGACGAUGAUGCAUAGCCGACCUGGGAGGGUGAUCGGCCACAUUGGGACUGAGACACGGCCCAAACUCCUACGGGAGGCAGCAGUAGGGAAUCUUCCGCAAUGGGCGAAAGCCUGACGGAGCAAUGCCGCGUGAGUGAAGAAGGCCUUCGGGUCGUAAAACUCUGUUAUAAGAGAAGAACAAAUUGUAGAGUAACUGCUACAGUCUUGACGGUAUCUUAUCAGAAAGCCACGGCUAACUACGUGCCAGCAGCCGCGGUAA
rnacentral:rRNA from 1 species